rnacentral:rRNA from 1 species
UACGUAGGGGGCAAGCGUUGUCCGGAAUCAUUGGGCGUAAAGAGCGUGUAGGCGGCCCGGUAAGUCCGCUGUGAAAGUCCAGGGCUCAACCCUCGAAUGCCGGUGGAUACUGUCGGGCUAGAGUGCGGAAGAGGCGAGUGGAAUUCCUGGUGUAGCGGUGAAAUGCGCAGAUAUCAGGAGGAACACCUAUUGCGAAGGCAGCUCGCUGGGACGUUACUGACGCUGAGACGCGAAAGCGUGGGGAGCAAACAGG